rnacentral:lncRNA from 1 species
CAAUAACUUCGAUUUCCGUCCAAACUAACCCUAAAUCGAUAUAGUAAUAUCGAUUUUAGGGUUACUCCUUUCGUUUAGCUGGAGUACAGAAAUCGAUUUUAAGACCCCUUAAAAUCGAUUUUAAGUGCCUUGUAGUGUGGACGGUUACAGCGUUAAAUCGAUUUAACGCUGUUUAAAUUGAUUUAACGCUGUAGUGUGGACCUGCCUCUGAAAGGAAACACAGUCAGGCACCGCCAGCCCAGCGCUGCUCCCCUCCAGGCGUAGCACGCAACAGCGAUCCGGCUGCAGCAGCUCCCCUGAAAUCCCAGCUCAGCAGGGCACGUGCAUGCGGCUGGGGCUGGGGCGGUCAUCCCCCAGGGGACACGCUGCCCCUCGCCAUAGCGCCAGGCUGUCAGCUAGGAGUGGGCAGUGCCAGAGCCUGCGCAACACCUGUUGGCAAUUUCACCUCCCAGCGUCACCCAGCCGAUUGGGUUUCAGGCUGUGAUUAAGGGCUUGGCCUCCGCUGAUUAACCCUUGCAGCGCGCCCACGGCUGCGGGGCUCGGCAGCUCUCAGCCGAGAGAAGCCGCCCGAGAUCGUCAGACAGCGGGAACUAAAGUUUUUCUCGCCCCCUCCAGUGUGUUUUCUCGCAGCUGCCUUCCGCAGCGGGGCCGAGCUGGAAAGGCACAGAACUUGGGCAGGAGGAAUUCAGUGUCCCUAAAAAUAGCCGCACUUCGAGAGACCCUGUGACUUCCCACUCUCCAGGGCGGGCGGCCCGCGGGCUGCCUUUCGCCGCUGACCCUUGUGAUUGCAACCAGCAUGCGCCUAACCCCCUCUCCCUGCGCCCGGAAGGCUGGGCUCGGCUGAGGGGUCUGGCCCCGACCUACUGGAGUGGGGAGGGCGCAGAAAAGCACCUGCUGAGGACAGGCUCGCGGCUUCUCCCGUGUUGGGGGCCUGCGAGCCUGGGCGAGGCGAGCUCCGCUAAUCGCGGGGUUGGACUGUUGGCGCUUCGCAACGCUCUCCAGCGCAAGGCGGCGCAGCGGCGGGGAGACUCCGCACCGGCCGAGGAGGAGGAAGAGGAGCGGGUGGUUUGUGUUUUAUCUUCUAGGAUCCCCCCCCCNNNNNNNNNNNNNNNNNCCCCCCCUUCCCCUCCCCGCCGCGGUUUCUCUCUGGGUCCGGCCGGCCGGCGAGCGCGAGUCUCCUGGGGGAACCUCUCCGAGCAAGCUGGGCUCUAUGAGCGGGAAGGUGAUCAAGCCCAAAGAAGAGAAAGAUGCUUCCAAGGGUAAGUCCGCCCGGCCGCCCGCCCGAGCCUGCUGCCUCGCAUGACCCCGGCUUGCUCCAUGCAUCGUGCGUCGCUCCUGGGGACCUUGGGGGGGGGGCACAGCACAACACCCCCCGGCCUGCUCUCGAUCCGAGGGGGCCCCGCCCCGGGGCGGUGUGAGAGCAGCAUCUCGCCGGGGGGCGCGCUGGGUGCUGCCCCUGCUCGCAUAGCAGCACCAAACGUCUGGACCAGGUGUCAAUAGUGUGUGUGAACGAGGGAUAAUUCGCUUCUGUGCUCGCAGCAAGAGCGGGGAGGCAAAUGGGCCCGCAGUGCUGGAUGCGUCGCCCGGAGAGGUCUCUCCCCCCGCGAUUGGAGCCGGAUUUGGGCUCGUUUUCAGUUCAGGUGCCCGGCCAGCUUGGGAGCGAUCCCCAAGGCCGCGCCCUCCCACCCCCCCGGACNCUGCUCUCUGGCCCCGGCUGCGAGCAGGGAGCCGAACCCCCCUGUG